CCCGACCCAAACCCGACUUAACCGAGCCCAAAACAGCAUGAACGGGCGGGUCGGGUCGGAUACAUUGUAACGGGUCAACCUGUCAAGGUUCCAGUUGGGUAUAAACGGUCGGGUUCGGGUUGAUUUUUUAAAACCCGUCGAAACCCAACCCGACCCGUAUUAUUGGAGAAAAGCAUGCGCAGUGGCAGAGUAGUUCACGUCUCACUCCAUCCACACUUUAUAUACUCUAUAAAAAAAGGAAAACCCUAACACUCCUCACUUUCUCAGUUCCUCUCUCUUGUGCGGCGCAUCUCACUCAAAGACACAAAGAGAAAACCUACAAUUUCUCCUUCCUCCUUCUUGAUUUUUCCUUCUUGUUCCUUCUCUUCCACCAAGCUGUAGCGCCCUUUCACUCAUUUUUGGUCCAUAUUUUCUCAUUCCUCUCUUGAAGUUUUAGAAGUCUGCAAAGUUUUCUUUCACUAUGCAUGUGAAAGCUCAUACCUUUCUCCCUUUUCCCCCAAAAGAUCCCUCAUUUUUAAGCAACAACAAGAAAGUUUGGUUUUCUUACUACUAUAUUUGCUAUCUUGUUUUAAAGAUUGUUUCUUUUCAUUGUGAGCACUGAGCACCUCUUUCUGACUUUGCUUCUCUAAAGCUUUUAACUUUCUUUGAUUUGGUUUUGGUUUUGAUUUGAUCAGAGUGGAGAUGAUAGCAGAUCUGAUUCUUCUUUGAUUUAUGUAAAAAAAAGAGAUUUUAUUUUUAUGUGUCUGUUGUUUGAAGUGUUCAAGUGUUGUUUUUGAUUGCUUUUAGUCUAUCAUCUUUGUUGCUUAUUGUUAUGUAAAUAUCAUUUGCACAUUUUUCUUUGCUGAUCUAUUAAUGUUCAUUUUCCAGAGCUAACUCAACAAUGAAGCCAAUGACCACAUUCAGCAUACAGUGUAGAAAAGAAAGAGGAGAUCGAAAAUCUUGCCAAACAAGUUUGAAAGGAGCUUGAAGCCAGAAACUUAAUGGGAUGAUGAUGUUAUGCUUGUUUCAACUUGUAAAAUGAUUAUUAAUUUGUAUUUGAUUGGGAUUAUUAUUUUAUGUGAUUUUUGUAAGUUCAAAAUUGUUGUGCAGUCAAAUGAAGUAAUUUUAUUCGA